CAUGGAUGCAAACUGGAGUCCUUCCACUUUAUUGGGGUCAGUCUUGGGGCCCACGUGGCUGGUUUUGUGGGGACCCUGUUUGAGGGAAAGAUAGGAAGAAUCACAGCUCUUGACCCUGCUGGUCCCAUGUUCAAAGGAGCGGACACAUAUGACCGGCUGGACCCCUCUGACGCUCAGUUUGUUGACGCCAUCCACACGGACUCUGACUAUUUUGGUAUUUCCAUCCCUGUCGGUCAUGUGGACUUCUUUCUAAAUGGAGGAAAAGACCAGACUGGAUGUGCUCGCUCCAGGUUC